rnacentral:lncRNA from 1 species
UGGAUAUUUUAGGUUUUUUUAUAGGCUCCAAAGUUCUAACUGCUUUUUCACUCUGUGCUUUGUGGCACUGCUGGGAGAUGUUCCUGCCAAAGCUGCCAAGGGUCUGAUGGAAGGGGGCCUGGCCCGGGAAGGCUCCCCGAAGUUGCUCUGAGCGAUCCUGGAUGCUGCAUGGCUUCAGUCCCUGAGGCCUCCCUGGCCACUAAGAGGAAACAAACCACUGCCAGAAUAAUGGAGAUUAGAGGAUGAUGGAAAUCUGGAAAGCAUCAGAGAUAAGAAGUCAAAGUAUGGGAUCUGAACCUGAGCUGGACCAGUGAGGACCCGUACCCAGUCACCAUGCAGGUGUGAGUGA